GGAACUGGGAAGUCCAAGUGAAAGUGCCUGCCAUAGACAAACACCAAACGCACCUGAGUUAAGGUAGCUUUGCAAUUCACUUUCCCUGUGCUGGGUUGAUCUCCCUUCAUUACAAAUCUUUGCUUUCCUCCACAUUUUUGUCCAUGAAUCCUGCUUUUUGAAGCAUCUGCAAUUUGGGGAAGUUAAAAGGAACUACAUUUCCUUCAGGUCAAGAAAAAAACAGAUGCCUUCAGAAAUAGCUGGAUCAGAAGUUAAUGAAAACCAUUUUCUUCAGCCACUUUCCCAGCAUCAACAAGUCAGCCAAUCCCUCAAGAAAGAACCUC